rnacentral:rRNA from 1 species
UUUCCUUCGGGACUGAUUAUUUUGUGACUGAAUGGCGGACGGGUGAGUAACGCGUGGGUAACCUGCCUCACACUGGGGGAUAACAGUUAGAAAUAGCUGCUAAUACCGCAUAAGCGCACGGUUCCGCAUGGAACAGUGUGAAAAACUCCGGUGGUGUGAGAUGGACCCGCGUCUGAUUAGCUAGUUGGCAGGGUAACGGCCUACCAAGGCGACGAUCAGUAGCCGGCUUGAGAGAGUGAACGGCCACAUUGGGACUGAGACACGGCCCAAACUCC